UCACCACAAAUAUUUUCAUCCCAAACCCCUUGCUUCACAUUCAAGCUCAACAUCAUUUCUACCUAGCUUUUUUCACAUUUUGUGGGUAAUGAUUUUAACUUUAACUUUUUAACUUUUUGUUUCUUUUUUUUGAUUAAAAAUGGUUGCUUGUUCUUGGUUGGUCUUUUGAGAUGGUUUAGAUUCAAGCUUGCAAAAAAAUGAUUGACUUUGGUUUACUCACCUUUUUUAAAGAUUUUU
rnacentral:lncRNA from 1 species